rnacentral:rRNA from 1 species
CCUACGGGGUGCAGCAGUGGGGAAUAUUGGACAAUGGGCGAAAGCCUGAUCCAGCCAUGCCGCGUGUGUGAAGAAGGCCUUCGGGUUGUAAAGCACUUUCAGUGGGGAAGAAAGCCUUGGGGCUAAUACCCUCGAGGAAGGACAUCACCCACAGAAGAAGCACCGGCUAACUCCGUGCCAGCAGCCGCGGUAAUACGGAGGGUGCGAGCGUUAAUCGGAAUUACUGGGCGUAAAGCGCGCGUAGGCGGUCUGAUAAGCCGGUUGUGAAAGCCCCGGGCUCAACCUGGGAACGGCAUCCGGAACUGUCAGGCUAGAGUGCAGGAGAGGAAGGUAGAAUUCCCGGUGUAGCGGUGAAAUGCGUAGAGAUCGGGAGGAAUACCAGUGGCGAAGGCGGUCUUCUGGACUGACACUGACGCUGAGGUGCGAAAGCGUGGGUAGCAAACAGGAUUAGAUACCCCAGUAGUC